rnacentral:rRNA from 1 species
GCGUAGUAGAUCCACAUCGAUCCAUUUCGAACUCGAUAGUGAAAGAUUAUAGCGGUGACGAUACUUAGAGGGGGGCCUCUUGGGAAAAUA